GGUGGCUCAGUGGUAGAGCGCCUGCCUUGUAUGCCAGAGGCCCUGGGUUCGAUUCCUCAGCACCA
rfam:Dipodomys ordii contig_95466, whole genome shotgun sequence.